rnacentral:rRNA from 1 species
UACAGAGGGGGCAAGCGUUGUUCGGAAUUACUGGGCGUAAAGGGCGCGUAGGCGGCCUGCUAAGUCGCACGUGAAAUCCCUGGGCUCAACCCAGGAACUGCGUCCGAUACUGGUUGGCUUGAAUCCGGGAGAGGGAUGUGGAAUUCCAGGUGUAGCGGUGAAAUGCGUAGAUAUCGGAAAGAACACCAACGGCGAAAGCACUCUGCUGGGCCGACACUGACACUGAGAGACGAAAGCUAGGGGAGCGAAUGGG